rnacentral:rRNA from 1 species
CCUACGGGAGGCUGCAGUGGGGGAUAUUGCACAAUGGGGAACCCUGAUGCAGCGACGCCGCGUGGGUGAAGGAGCGUUUCGGCGCGUAAAGCCCUAUCGGGAGGGAAGAAGGAGGACGGUACCUGACUAAGAAGCCCCGGCUAACUACGUGCCAGCAGCCGCGGUAAUACGGAGGGGGCAAGCGUUAUCCGGAUUUACUGGGUGUAAAGGGGGCGCGGACGGCAGCGCAAGCCAGGAGUGAAAGCCCGGGGCCCAACCCCGGGACUGCUCUUGGAACUGCGCGGCUGGAGUGCAGGAGGGGCAGGCGGAAUUCCUGGUGUAGCGGUGAAAUGCGUAGAUAUCAGGAGGAACACCGGUGGCGAAGGCGGCCUGCUGGACUGCGACUGACGUUGAGGCCCGAAAGCGUGGGGAGCAAACAGGAUUAGAUACCCGAGUAGUC